AUCUAGCAUUUAUUUUUACGGUUUGUUAUUUCUUUUUUGGUGUUAACCCUCCGGUUCUCUGGUACUCUAGAGUUCGGUUGUGAGGUUGGAAUAACCAAGAAUUGUUCCACCCAUGAAUCGAACUUAGGUUCUUUCGAAUGAUUCGUUCUUUGGUAGAGCUCAUUAACCACGUGAAGUAAGUAUAUUUGUAUCAUUGUAUGAUUUGUUUUUUUCUGGUGGGUUUUACGUUUCUUUAACUCGUUAAAGCUUGUUUUUGAAAAUUGUUUUGGUAUUACUUGCAAAGUGAUUGGAGAGCAAUGCUGUGAAGUGAGAAGAAACAACCAUAUACCUAUGUCUGAUGUGAGGUGUCUGAGCUCAAGAUGUUUAGUUUGUUUUUCAGAAAUAGUAUCUUUUUUUGCCUGAAAAGAAAUGGAAUCAUUUCCUACAAUUACUUUAUAUAUGAAAAGAAAAUUCAUUAAGCUGCAUUCUGUAAUUAAGUGGAUGCUUUCUCUUUAAGAUUCUCAAAUUUGAAUUUGUUUAUGCUAUGUUUGAAUGAGUUGGAAGAAGGGAAACAAAGGCUAAAAGAGAUUUAGGCCUCUUCUUUGAAGAUUUUUAAAGAAAGAAAUAGAAGGUAAAGUGUUCCCCGAGCCUUGUCACUUGCUUAAAACAUAGUUAAGGUUUGAGUUAUACAUGUUUUUUGUAUUCAAAUUCUGUUUUUAGUCACUAUCAAAUUAAAUGAUUAUGCGUCUGGUUAAGAGCUAGCUAUGCCUAUGUGUCAUGUCCUGGUCAAUGUAAAUAAUAAAAAUUUGGAAACUUUUUACAACAUUCAGCAAUGUACCCAGAAAAGUGCGCUGAGGUUGAGUCUCUGGGAGGACUUUGAAGACAUUUGAUGAAUCUGUUUCUGCUGCAAAUUGCAAUACUGAGAAAGAGAAUAUCCUUAGCGAAUUCCUAACCUUUGAGCGUUGCCAUGCAUUCAGCUAUGUCAGAUUCCAGGAGCAGUGGCCUAUUCCAACAAGCCACAGCAACUACAACUGCCUCUGCAUCUCGAACCACGGAAGCUAGUCCCCAUCUGUCUUCGUCAUCAAGACCUGCGGCAUCAGCAUUGAGUUUAAAAGAGCCACUGACAGGUGCAGACCAGUGAACAUUGCAAUUUGGCACAGGUCAUGGCAUCGGGAGCAUCCUUUCCUUCAAAACAUUUCUGACUACUCGCCCUCCAAACCUCAUAGAAAAUGGCAAAGACCCAUUGAAUCACCUAAAUUUCUUCAUUCAUAAUUACCUGCUCAAUCCAGUUCCUGAAAGAGCCAAUCCAGCUCUGUUUUCAGCAAAGAUGACACCAAGAGUUAAAUCAAGUCAUACCAAUUUCACCCAUUCAGAGUCUUUAAAAAGAUGAUCCAAGGUUUCAUUGUGUUGAUCACACAAACAGCAUAAUGGAGAGUAAUUAACACCUUAAACAGGGAACUGCGAACCAAGAACCAAUUGUACAAUAUGCACCACAUAAUGUUCACAUGUCUCGAAACGGUUCUUAUCUUCCAAAGCUUAGACCAAACAUUACUCUCUUGCAGGCUGACAGAUUGAUUUGAACUCAAAGCUGCAUUUCUUUGCUUGGGGAAUCUGUAGGCAGACUUCAAGGAGAAUUCACCGUCUUUUGUUGGUUCUCCACGUGAAAACUGUGCUUUUGAUCAUUAAAAAGUGCAGGGGAUGCUGUGCUGGUCUUGCAGAGGUUUCCCAACCUUAAUUUACUGUGUUUCAUAUGACUCUAAAUGUAAAGAUGAAGUGUAUUUUAACCAAUGGAACUGCUAUGGAACGACCUCAUUUAUGGAGUUUGCUUUACAUUGGAAUAAGAUUAAUGUCAAGGAAAAGUUAUAUGUAAAUUGGUUUGUAUCUUGAGCAGUUAUUGUAUUAGAAAAGAUAGUUAAUGUGAUUUAUGUCAUUAUAUUUUUCACUUUA